UGAGAUGAAAAUGCAUCGUUUAGUCAACCUUCAGAUUUUAUUGAAUGCUUCAAUAGUUUUAACACAAGACAUACAAAACAAUAUAAAUUAAAUCCAUGUUCAUGUUGGAACUAAUCCCAUCUUUACUUGCAUAACAUCUGUGCUUCAAACCGUUACGUAAAAGGAAUAUUCAAGUCUUCAAACAUUACCAUGUUUUAGGGAGAGGCGGGGAAAAAUCAAAAUGUCUGGGCCAUAAAUCAAAGUCAACAACUUUAGCCCCGGUUACUAUUCCCUCGCUUUGGUUUUGUUCAACAAAACAGUAGCUGCGUUUAGCAUCUAACUAAGGAAACAGAGCUGCAGAAGUGUGCAGUUCCUUGUUUUAUAGUCGGACAACCUCAAACCAAGUGAGGCCACUUGAGACUGAAAGAGAGCCCUCCGCCACGAUAGCAGUGACAUAUUUUGGUGUGUAAAUACUUGGUUUUAGAUGGUCAAGUGAUGUCCCUGUGCUGGACUUGGAAUCAAAUCAGAGAGUACGGCCAAGAUACCUUGCAAAGUUCCUCCUGAGAAAUACAUGUUUGUAGGUUAACAUUGCCAUUUUCUUCCUCAUAACUCAUAGCAGGACACCCCCUGCUCAAUUCAACACAUGGCGGCCAGCUUUUGUGGUCAUAGAUACUCUUUGCUUUGGUGGGCAAUGAGGGCAGACGUCCACCAUUAUUUAAGUUACUCUUAGGAAGUGGAAAGAAAGGGAAUCCUAGAAUGGCUACACAGAUACUCCGAAAUUCACAGAAACUGGUGACUGCAUAAUGGGAGUAUGCAAAUAUUAAUUUAAUUAAGUAUCUGUCAAGUGCUGGGACAAUAGUGGAACCUACGACAGUUCUGACCCAGCUAAAUAAUGGAUGGAGAGAGCAGGAAAACUUUUAACUACUCAACCAGGGCCUUAGAUUAAUACAAAGAUACUGCCCACUGUAAUCAUUUAAAUCAGGGGUACUCCCGAUUUACAAAAUGACACGUGCCAGAUUUUGAAAUUGUCAGUCUUAUCUUACUACUUUUCUACUCUUAAGUAUGAACAAAAGGCAAAUAAAGAAAAUCCUGCUUGGAAAAUUAAAAAAGAAAAAAACCAACAGUAACGUCGUCAAUAUUGCUCCUCUUAAAUUAAAAGUUAACCACCACAUCCGACGGUUUAAGCAGGAGAAAUCCACAGUGUAAACGUCUCACAGUUUAGAACAAUGUGAGGAAAUAAGUUUCAAAAAACACAGUCUCAAAAUGAACCAAGGUGGGAUUAAUUUUUAGAUGAGGUGAUCCAGACUAUCAUAUGCUACAAAUUCAUAGAACGGCUAUUUUUUUUAAUAAGUGCAAAUACAAUUAUAAUGAAAAUGAAAAGUUAUUUCAAAGUUGCCCAUUGGUCAGGUUAG